UGCUCGGCUGGGAUUCGACCCCGGACACUUGUAUGCUAGACGAGUGAUUUACCGACUAAGCUGCCGAGC
rnacentral:tRNA from 1 species